AACACUGUUAACCUGCGGUACCUGCGGAGGGAUCAUUAAAAUAUUACUAGUUAGCUUUGGAGAUUCCUCUAAAGUUAAUUAUGUAUUUCAAUCACUUGUUUACUUAUACCGGUUGCUUCCGUGAAAAUUAGGGUGCCUGCGCUAUUCGUAGUUGUAGGUUACCUUUCACGGGUGUUUUAUAAAAAACUAUGUUUUGAAUGACUUGUCUGAUUAUUAGUUUUAAAUAAAGUUAAAACUUUU
rnacentral:misc_RNA from 1 species